AGUCGUCCCUCCCCAGGCCCCCGGGACAAAGGUCUAGCGGUGUCCACCCCUCCCCUCCCCCAGUGAGGACAGCCCGGGGAAGACCCGCGUCUGUUGUGUGUCCAGGAUUCAACAAUGGGGCUGGAGAGAAGGCUCAGCAGUUAGGAGCAAUGAUUGCUCUUCCCGAGGACAUGACUUCAGUCUCACCACUCCUGUUGGGUGCCUCAAAACUGCCUGAAACUCCAGUUCCAGAAGGGGGUGGGAUCGCACACCCCUGUCUAGCUACUAUGUGCAUGUGUGUGUGCACAAACCUUCAUAUAUAUGUAAAUAAAAACAAAAAUAAAGCCUGUC